GGCGUGAAGGUCAGGGCUGCUUGUGCGGGGAGGGGCAGUUGUGCCUCUGUUUCCCAGGAAAGCGCCAGGCUUCCUUCUCUGGCUGUGGGCAGGUGGCUGCGGCUCACGCGCACCUGAGUCCUGUUAUUUUUAGGAGAAAGCGAAUCCCUCUCCAGCUGGGCUUCAUAAGGGCUCUGUGGUGCGGGGUGUGGGCCUGGGGACAGCAGGGCCCGUGGAGGCAGAGUCUACUCCUGGGAGCUUCCUUCCAGGCCCAGAGACGCCGACGCAAAAGGGUCCUGACCGCCGAGAGGGACACAAGCUGGGCGCACGUGGAUCUGGGCUCCUCUGACUGCACACACUGCACCUCGCUGUGUCUGCCUCCUCCAACAGUCUGGACCCCCCAACUGGGAGCACAUCAUCCCCUGCACCCCGCACCCCAGCCCGGCUCACAGACGCAGGGCCCAGGACUGAAAUGUGCCCAUCUCGGGCCGAGGGUGGCAGGAAGUGAUCCAAAGGAGAAAGGCCAGAUAUACUGUCAGUCCUUGCAAAGCCAUCAUCUGCAGGGUGACAGACAGCACACCGGAGCCCGUGGGCUGCCUGGCUUCAGCACAGUCGCCAGCUGCACACGUGGGCCCUGGACACCUGCCCUGUGAAGGCCGGCACGCUCCUGUCCUGGGAGAGAAGGGGCUGACCGGGAGCUAGGGAACACGACCUCCCCGGCACUUCUGUGUACAAGUGCAUCCCGACUGGUGCCCUGUUCAGUUCCUGAAACGUCCUGGCGGGUGGCACCGAGCUCAGUGAAGAGGGGGCAGGCAGGCCGUGACGGGCCUGGAGUACCACUCUUGGGCCACUCACGGACAGGCCCUGGCCAAGUGCUGGCUGCUGGGCAAAGAGCAAUGGUGGGGUGCAGUGACCCCUGGCCUCUUGAAGAAGCUUCCUGUGAGGGCCUGUUCUUAACAUCCGUGUCACGUGAGGCUCUCCCUGCCCUCCUUCGUCCCACUCCGGAUCCCAUCCACCCUGCUCCCUGCCUGCCCUGGGGCUAGCGGGGCAACUUCCCUUCUGCAGCCGGGUGUCCUUUGUCGUGGGUGGCCGUGCUGGGCACUGUGCAAGCUCGGUCGCCUCCCGGGCCUCCACCUGCUCGGUCGUGAUGACCCAAGUGUCCCUGGACAUUGCCAAGUGUCCCGGGGGUGCAGAGGCCCCCUGAGAACCUUUCCACCUUCCUGGGGCUCACAGGGAAGAAGCCUGGGGCUAGGGCAGCCCUGUGGGCUGGUGAGCAAGGAGAAGAGGCGGUGGCUUCUCAGCUGGACCCAGCGUGAGUCGAAGAGACAGGAGGAUGGGUGUCUCCAGCCAAGGGCACCGCAUGCCCCAGGCCUGGAUGUGUAAGCGAUGGACCAGGCAGCGGCGCUGGGUGGAGGAGGAUGGCUAGGCCCAGCCAGGCAGAGGGUGGGCAGGAGGCUGCCCUGUGCAGCCUGGGCUGUGCCAGGAGGGUGUAGGAGAUGCAGGUUGGGCGUCGGGGAGAAGAGGG
rnacentral:lncRNA from 1 species